rnacentral:lncRNA from 12 species
CACAGAGGAACGCAGGGAAGAAAGCCACAUGACAACAUAGAGGAGGAUCAGAGCAAUGCGUCUACAAGCCAAGGAAUGCCAAGGAUUGCCAGCAACCACCAGAAACUAGGAAGAGGAAAGGAAAAAUAUCCCCUCGCCACUCCGAAGGGAACAUGACUGUUCUGACAUCAUAAUUGCAGACUUCUUCUAGUCCCUUGGAAUCUGAGAAAAAACCAUUUCUGUUGCUUUAAGCCACCCAGCCCAUUAUACUUUGUUAGAGCAGCCCUAGGAACCCAAUACAGGGGACCUCUUGUCUUACAUCAGUUUCCAGAUUUUCUAAGGGGAGCUUAGGAAAAAUUAACACAUCAUUUCCAUUUUGUUCGCAAGAACCUGCAAAUGAUCUCAAAUGAGUCACUAACAGAGCAAAUGUGGCACAUUUUGUAUCCAGAGGCUAACUCAAGUUUAACAGAGAGAUCACCUCAGAUGCAGGAAACAAAGAAGCCACGUUGAGAUUGGACAUCAGAGUGUGCCUCCAGUCAGGGGAAGUCAUGAUACAUGAUAACACAAGAGCAAAGGACCAACACUGCUUGUAUUACGACAAGGUUUCUUGAAGUCUUCAAGAAAACUCUGUCGCAGUGACCAUUUGCAGAUUGAAUCCCAUACUUUCAGGAAACAAAACCAAAACUAAAGGGGAGACCAAGAAGGUGAAGGCUUAAAUUCAACUUCCAGUUGACAGAAGGAUAAGGAACUGUCUCGAGAUUUAUUUCUAAAUGUUACCCUUAAUUGCUGCAUGAUUAAAACCAUGUUAAAAAAACA